rnacentral:lncRNA from 1 species
UCUGAGCUUUCAGACUUCUCCGACAAUGAGCUUCUCCAUCCAUCUACCGUGCCGCUCUAAAGGCUCUUUAGGCCUCACUGUCAGCCGACCUUCUACAGUGACCAACUAUUCUCCGAACUCCUUCCGGACUCCGUCGAUAUCCGAGCUUCUUCGACAAUAAGGUUUCUACAGAGAUCGGACUUCAUCCAAGUUUCUACGGUGGUCGACCGCCUUCAAAAUUCUAACUGGACUCCUG